rnacentral:lncRNA from 1 species
ACAAGAGGGAUGAUUGAUAGCCAGGGAGGUGCGCGCUGUGGCCCAGCGCACAGACAGGAGGCUCUCCGUGCCUGUGCACGAGGCGGAAGUGGGGCGCUCCUGCUGCACUGGCCGCCGGAGUAGGGGGCGAGCUCGGCGGUGACGUGAGGUGCUCACGUGACCGCGAGCUGCAGAGCGACGCAGCCUUCGCUGCAGUCGUCACUCCUGUCUGGGUACCAGCUCCCCGCUCCCCUGCGCACGGCGGGCUGGCAUCGGGCCCGCGGCGAGCGGAGCAGGUCUGCCGAACUAAGUGUGGCGGCGGCGCAUUCGUGGCGAGGAUCGGAAGGAGCAAGAGACAGCGAGGAUAGGCCCAGCAAACUUGGCUGUCUAUUGAAGAAACUUAAAAAAGGUCACCUUUGUGACCAGAGCCAGCAUUGCACUUUGAACAUCACUGAGCAGGAAACCCGAGACAGAGAAGUAAGGUUAAUCUUAAUGGUGGAACAUAUUUUGACCUGCUGAGAUUAAGGUAAGUUUGAGACAUUCAGGAGAGUUCCAUUAAAGUUCAGAUAAAAAUCUACAGGGCCAAAGAGUAGUUUGGGCUAGAUAUAUGAAAUUGUAGUGACAAAUGCAGAAAUGAAUAGGAUCUGCCAAAGAGAACAAAGAGACUGGAAAAAGAGAGGACUCGUAAUAUUCAGGGA